rnacentral:rRNA from 1 species
CGUAGGGGGCAAGCGUUGUCCGGAUUUAUUGGGCGUAAAGAGCUCGUAGGCGGUUCCGUAAGUCGAGUGUGAAAAAUCUGGGCUCAACCCAGUGGAGCACUCGAUACUGCGGUGACUGGAGUACGGUAGAGGAGUGUGGAAUUCCUGGUGUAGCGGUGAAAUGCGCAGAUAUCAGGAGGAACACCGACGGCGAAGGCAGCACUCUGGGCCGGUACUGACGCUGAGGAGCGAAAGCGUGGGGAGCAAACAGGAUUAGAUACCCUGGUAGUCCACGCCGUAAACGUUGGGCACUAGGUGUGGGAAGGAAUCAACCCUUUCCGUGCCGUAGCUAACGCAUUAAGUGCCCCGCCUGGGGAGUACGGCCGCAAGGCUA